rnacentral:rRNA from 1 species
AUUGAACGCUGGCGGCAGGCCUAACACAUGCAAGUCGAACGAGUGGCGGACGGGGGAGUAAUGUCUGGGGAAAUUCCUGCUGGAGGGGGGUAACUACUGGGAACGGUAGCGAAUACCGCAUACCAUCGGAUGUGCCCCGAUGGGAUUAGCUAGGAGGGGGGGUAAAGGCUCACCUAGGCGACGAUCCCUAGCUGGUCUGAGAGGAGGACCAGCCACACUGGAACUGAGACACGGUCCAGACUCCUACGGGAGGCAGCAGUGGGGAAUAUUGCACAAUGGGCGAAAGCCUGAUGCAGCCAUGCCGCGUGUAUGAAGAAGGCCUUCGGGUUGUAAAGUACUUUCAGCGGGGAGGCGUUACCCGCAGAAGAAGCACCGGCUAACUCCGUGCCAGCAGCCGCGGUAAUAC